ensembl:misc_RNA Metazoa_SRP Metazoan signal recognition particle RNA
GCUGGGCAUGGUGGCGCAUGCCUGUAGUCCUAGCUACUCGGGAGGCUGAGGUGGGAGGAUCGCUUGAGCCCAGGAGUUCAAGACUGCAGCGUACUACAGUUGUGCCUCUGAAUAGCCACUGCCUACCCAAGUCUAGCCUGGGUAACAGAGCUAGACCCCGUCUCAA